UGUAAAAAAUAAUUCAGUGGCUUAGUAAAUUUCACAAAAAUAAAGAGCUAUAUUAACUUAAUAAAAUCUUUUGAAAUCAUUUAAGUGAUUUUUUGAGUGGGUCAGAUUAAAAAGAAUAAUUAAAAAUCCAACAAAUAAUUUCUCUAAAAUUUACAUAUAUUAUUUAAGUUUAUGUAAUGAAAAUAAAUAAGUAUUUAACUAACUAAUUAUAUUUUUAAUAUACCUUCAAUAUUUCUGGUGAAUUCUAAUAGAAAUAUUUGAUAAUUAUUUACUUGUACUGAUCUGUUUUAGAAACUAAAAUUAUUAAGUAUUUCCAACCAAUUUUCCUAAAUAAAGUUCCAGCUUAAUAAAUGACAGAUUAAAUAAAUUGAGUAAAUUUCGCGGCUAAAGUGAUCACGUGUGCAGCUCCGCAGGAAAAAAAAAAUCUGCUUUCCUCAGCAGCGACGUCGACUAGCCAUACCUCACAGCUCCUGUUUCGUAGCUUAAUCGAAGUCACCUGAAGGACGGCUUUCCUCAGCAACGGCAAGACCCGCACUCCUCUCAUAAUCGUGAAGUUUAACAAGUUUCGCGGCUCAAACAAGAGGCACCUGUCACUGAAGGACUGCUUUUCUCAGCAACGACGUGAACAGCAUUACUCGAAUUUCCUGGUUCAGCUGAUCUACCCGUCUUCGUACAAGCAGAGUUGGCAGAGGAGGUCAUAAAAAUCGACAUCCUUCGGAACAAUAAUGGGGCAGUCAGCGACGUAAUCUUGGGAAUCUCAGCAGAGCCUGCUGCCAUCUUUCAGGAGUCACAUUGGAUUUGAGAUAUCCCAAGACCCACAAAUACAGGUCCUUCUCCAAAAAUUAGCAUAUUGUGAUAAAGUUCAUUAUUUUCCAUAAUGUAAUGAUAAAAAUUAAACUUUCAUAUAUUUUAGAUUCAUUGCACACCAACUGAAAUAUUUCAGGUCUUUUAU